GGCAUUACAGACAUUUAGAAGGGCAUUAAGAAGCAAUUGGUUCUUUUCCUGCUCGGAGCACCACAAGUUGGGGAGAUUCCCGAAGAGACGACGCAGCGAUCUGUAAUAAGCUUUCGCUCACGAAAGAAAGAGGGUUUUUCGAUUCCUGACGAGGGGAUGGAGAAGAGGACGGUUCGAGUUGGGAAUCUCGGAUCUUGCCGGAGAAAGGGAGAUCUGGGAUUUUUUUUCUCAUUUUAGGGAGAUAUCGAGCAUCUCGAGAUCCGAGGGGACAGGGACGCAGGUACUGAGCGGGUUGCGUCUGUAACAUUUAAAGAACCAAGACCUCUGGAGAUCGCAUUGUUACUAUCGGUGCUUACAUUUCCCUCUAAAAUUAAAGAAAUCAGGGAGCCACUAUUGUUGACCGAGUUGUCAACAUAGCUUCUGUUGAAAAUUAUGUUCCUACAAUUGAGGAGGCAUUUGAAGAGUUUAUAAAUACAUAAUAUUUCAGUGGUUGUUUCAUUUGUGAAGUUCCUUUCAGGCAGCAAGUUGCAGUGAAUGAGGUAGAAAUUGCAAUCCCUGACUCCAUGACAAAUGUUGAGGUUUCUAUAAAAAACAGUAAAAUAUUUAAUCAAAGCCCUACUUCAUGCAAUAUAUAUAUAUUAGUUGGUAUCGGGUAUGUAAUUUAUAUUGACUAAUCAUGAAGUAGUCCGGUCCAAUGUAAGUUUUCCAUUCCUCAUAUGGGUAAAUCAGGAAGGAAGAGUUUGCAAUAGACUA